CCAGUUGUAGCCAAGUGGUUACUCCAACAGACUGGAAAUCUGUGUCUCUUGGACUGUGCAGGUUCAAAACCUGUCGACGAGG